CAGGCCUAACACAUGCAAGUCGAACGGAAAGGCCCCCUUGUGGGGUACUCGAGUGGCGAACGGGUGAGUAACACGUGAGUAACCUACCCUUGACUUUGGGAUAACUUCAGGAAACUGGGGCUAAUACCGGAUAGGAGCUCCUGCUGCAUGGUGGGGGUUGGAAAGUUUCGGCGGUUGGGGAUGGACUCGCGGCUUAUCAGCUUGUUGGUGGGGUAGUGGCUCACCAAGGCUUUGACGGGUAGCCGGCCUGAGAGGGUGACCGGCCACAUUGGGUCUGAGAUACGGCCCAGACUCCUACGGGAGGCAGCAGUGGGGAAUAUUGCACAAUGGGCGGAAGCCUGAUGCAGCAACGCCGCGUGCGGGAUGACGGCCUUCGGGUUGUAAACCGCUUUCGCCUGUGACGAAGCGUGAGUGACGGUAAUGGGUAAAGAAGCACCGGCUAACUACGUGCCAGCAGCCGCGGUGAUACGUAGGGUGCGAGCGUUGUCCGGAUUUAUUGGGCGUAAAGGGCUCGUAGGUGGCUGAUCGCGUCGGAAGUGAAAUCUUGGGGCUUAACCCUGAGCGUGCUUUCGAUACGGGUUGACUUGAGGAAGGUAGGGGAGAAUGGAAUUCCUGGUGGAGCGGUGGAAUGCGCAGAUAUCAGGAGGAACACCAGUGGCGAAGGCGGUUCUCUGGACCUUUCCUGACGCUGAGGAGCGAAAGCGUGGGGAGCGAACAGGCUUAGAUACCCUGGUAGUCCACGCUGUAAAC
rnacentral:rRNA from 1 species